UGUGGUGGGAGUCACACAAGUGUCCUUGGUGGGUAUGAAAUGCUGGAUUUUUAUUUACUGGAUCAGCCAAAAAGCCCCAGGUCUAAUGUUGACUUUACUUCAGUCUUUGCUUUAACAAAAUCCCUUCCCUCUUCGCUAUGGGAUUACCUGUAACAAGACUGGGAUGAGAUCUCCAGGUUGUGUGGCAUUAGCUGCUGAUUUUUCCAGCGCAGUGGGAUUUUGCAGUUUUGAAGCCAGGAGCAAGAUGGGCCAUCCCCAUCACACUGCCUGGUGGCCUGAUCCUGCCUUCUGGAAUGAAGAGGACUGCUCUUGCUUUGCAACUGAGCAUUUUGUACAAGAUCUUCUGCUUACGAAGAACACAUCUGAGCCCCUGAAAAUCUGCUGCAAUUCCUAUUUGUAUGAGUGGUGUGAGAAGUGAAAGGAAAGAGCAGAGAGCACUCCCAGGCUGGGACUAUAGCUAGUUUAAAUUUAUUCCUCAGAUAACUUUGGUUGGUCAUUGAAGCCUAAAGUGACUCUAAAGCAUGAGAUCUGUGUCUUCAGUAGCACAGCAGUGGAUAUCUUUAGAUUGGGUUUUCAUCAUAUACUUUAAUUUUCUAGGCUGGAGGAUGACCAUAAUUGCUGAACAAUUCAGUGUAAUGGAAUGGGCUAAUUCAGCGCUUUUUACUGCAUUUUUCCACAUAAUAUCUAAAAUCUUUUUUUCCACCAUAACCCAUGUUUAUGAAAGCAAGUACUUAACCCGCACAUUUCCUGGGCUUGAAUCAUUUCCUUAAUAAGGCAUAAAAUUUUGCAAAAUCACUCCCUUUACAUUAACACAUCAUUAUAAGGAGAUAUCAGUGUUUAGCACGUCAGAAGCAUACACUAGUCUGUGCAAUGUACAGCUACACCACUCAGCUUCAGAGUCAUAUACCACGGCUUUCAAAUAAUAAUUCUAUAAAAACAAGAGCUUUCCUUUCCUUUCCUUUCUUUCCUUAUUUUUUUAAUUCAGUGUUUUCUUCCAAACUGUUAUAGGCUGUUCUCUUGCACAGGAUGAAGCAUGUCAAACAUGUUAGCUUUUCUUUUAGUUUUGGCUUUGCAUCUGAUAAGUAGAAAUAAAGCAGCAAGCAAUGGCUAUGGUUUGAAACUGCUAUAACCACAGUUCAUAAAAUAAUAUUAAAAGAUGACAAAAGCCAUAAAAAUCUCUAUGUUCCCUUUUGUUGCUGUGCUCUGUCAAACAGGAAUCUCCUUUUUCAAGGAGACACUGAAAAAGCUGAUAUAUUGCUUCAAAAAUAAAAGAUAAUGUAUACAAACCAGAA